UUUAUAAGAUUGGCUAUGCUUGAAUUGUUUAGCAAUAGGAGGUGCUGUUGGGAUCAUAUCGACUUCAAGAAGGCAGGUGUUAGAUUUUUCAAAAGGCGAAAGAUUGUCAAUUGUCAGUCAGGCAAGUGAAUCUUCGACAGUACGUGGCCGGAACUCCUCAGGUCUUGUGCUCUGAGCUGAUUUAAUAUGUAAAUUUUUACCUUGAUUAUCUCGAUUGCAUGGUGAGAUGAAGUUGGGAAAUGGCGAAAACGAUUUAAGGCAUGUACGUAAUGCUAACACACCAGUUGUGCAGUUUUGAAACUCCAAUUGUAUGUGGAAUCGUCAGAUUACCCAGGUGGGAAUGCGAACGAGUUUUGAUUAUAAGAACUGAAGUGCAAAUUUCUAUGCUGCAUUUGACAUAAAUCGUUUUUUAUUUUGUUUUGCGUAAGCCGCCACAUCUGUGACCAUGUGGCACGAUCCUUUUCUGUAACAAUGACCGUUUUGUUGUAUUAGCUUAUCAAUCACCGCACAAUUGCAGUUCCUCCACCAUGAUAUGCACGUAGACUUGUUUCUAUGUAGACGCUCCCACAUAAGCUGUUUUGUAGAUAACUAGAUACCAAGGUGGUAACCAUCCUAUCUGAUAGUGUGCUGUCAAAUUCUGAGAUUUACUAGGUUUUAAAUGCUUUGGAGAACUUCAUUGUUUGGAGCACGAGAAAUCCUGCAGGCUAUACCGCUUUGUUACUAAUAUAUGACUUUUAUAAUAGGUUAAGUACUCAGACACUGCACACCUAGACAGAUGAAUGUGGUAUAUGUGUCUGAAUAGUUCCCGUCAGAUACUUGUUGUAACUUUGUUAUUUCAUUUGUGCUCUUUGUCACUGUUGCUGGAAAACGAGCGAAAGGCUUUUUUGACACUUUGUACUACACAAAACACUAUAUUUACCACAAGCUACUGAAAUAUAAACACUAAUGGUCCAUGUUUUCCAAAUCUGUUUGCCCUUCAAUUUGAGAUUUGACAAUCCCAACUCUAGAUGUACACCAGCACCCGACACCUUGACAACCAAGACCGAUUUCUUGUAACAUAGUGUCAUGAUUUAUUUUAUUUCCUAAAUCUACAAAUACUGCUUCUUCUUUUUUCUUUGCAUUAUGAGCAGGAUCAGUACUAUGCUAUUGAAUUUAAGUGCAAAGAAGAGUCUUCUAUAUGUUUGUUGCCAUCUGUCAAGUAUUUUGGGUGCAUCUCUAGUUUACCUUUAGCUAGCAGUAUUGAUUACCAGAAGUGGCAAAACUACUCUACCAAAAAAAAAAGGUAGUGGCAAAACUACAAUAUAUACGACAGUGCAAUAUGCAUCAUGCAUCCAUAAGUGUGUGACAUGCUAUUUUUCAGUUACAAGACAUGCGUCAUAAUGUUAUGCAGUGCUAGCUUUAUUUUAUAAGAUGCUUUGUCCAUUUUCAGCACAUUGCUGAUGCUAUCGAGGACCUUGUGAGUAGCGGAACCACAUUGCGAGAGAAUAAUUUAAAAGAAAUCGAAGGUGGAGUAAUAUUGGAAAGUCAGGCUGUUCUUGUUGCUAGCAGGAAGUCCUUGACCCAACGGAAAGGUGUAUUGGACAUCACUCAUGAAAUCCUUGAAAGAUUGGAGGCACAUUUGAGGGCAGCUGGCCAGCUCACGAUUUGCAGAAUUUGUUUCUUGUGUUAUGGUUGCAGUUUUCCUUUACUGUCAUUGUCUCACUCUGUUCAUUUCAGGUUACUGCAAACAUAAGGGGAACCAGUGCAGAUGAGGUGGCGGAACGAGUACUGUCUGGACAUCCCCUUGAAUUGAAUGGACCCAUGCACUUUUGAUGCAUUUGAAUUGCAUGAAAUGGCGUCACUAAAGGAAAUUGGGACCCACCGUAAGUCCGGUUUUUUGCAAACGUGAUGGGAGAAUAGCAGCAGAUUACCAUGCGAUAGUCAUAUGUGUACCCAAAAAGCUGCUUUAUAAGUCUAUUCAACAACUAAGAGCAGUAAGACAAUUUUCUUUCUUUACUAUGCCAUGGCCAUCUGUCUAGCCCAAACUUCUGGGACAAACCCUAGGUUACAAUUUUUCCGAAUCGUGAUUUUUUACAUGAACUUUCCUAAGGCACCCCCCAGCAGCUUCGAUAACAUUCCACACAAAAAUGCAAGUUUGAGUCUCCUCAACCCCUUGUAAAAGGAAGGGCAUAAGAAUUUCAUGGAUCGACGAAGACUCAAAAGUAUGAUUUUGGAACUACUUGCAUAAUUUCUGGCUCAGCAGGCCUGGAGCUUCAGUGAUUCGCAGCUUGUCAAUGGUUUUCUAGCAAAAAAACAUGAUUCAGGCAAAAAAUGCCCUGAAAAUGGUUAGUUUUGUUUGAACUCAUUGUUUUCCCUUCUAUGCUGUUUACAAUAAUUGGUUCUGAUU